UACGAAGGGGGCUAGCGUUGUUCGGAGUUACUGGGCGUAAAGGGCGCGUAGGCGGCCCCUCCAAGUCGGGUGUGAAAGCCCACGGCUCAACCGUGGAAUUGCACUCGAGACUGAAGAUCUUGAGUUCGGGAGAGGUGAGUGGAACUGCGAGUGUAGAGGUGAAAUUCGUAGAUAUUCGCAAGAACACCAGUGGCGAAGGCGGACUCACUGGCCCGGUACUGACGCUGAGGUGCGAAAGCGUGGGGAGCAACAGG
rnacentral:rRNA from 1 species